rnacentral:rRNA from 1 species
AUUGAACGCUGGCGGCAGGCCUAACACAUGCAAGUCGAGCGAGCGGCGGACGGGUGAGUAAUGUCUGGGAAACUGCCUGAUGGAGGGGGAUAACUACUGGAAACGGUAGCUAAUACCGCAUACCAUCAGAUGUGCCCAGAUGGGAUUAGAUAGUAGGUGGGGUAAUGGCUCACCUAGGUGACGAUCCCUAGCUGGGCUGAGAGGAUGACCAGCGACACUGGAACUGAGGCACUGUCCAGACUCCUACGGGAGGCAGCAGUGGGGAAUAUUGCACAAUGGGCGCAAGGCUGAUGCAGCCAUGCCGCGUGUAUGAAGAAGGCCUUCGGGUUGUAGAGUACUUUCAGCGUGGAGGCGUUACUCGCAGAAGAAGCACCGGCUAACUCCGUGCCAGCAGCCGCGGUAAUUC